ACCACUGAGGGCGCUGUAGACUUGUUUUAUUUCUCGCUGACACGUUCACAGCAACAAGACUUGUGUUUCAGUUUUGAUCGAAACACGUCUUAAUUCUAGUUGGUACAGAUUAUGACAGCAAACGGUCGAGGAACGAUGAGACCCCAAGGUCGUACACCACCUUUUCUCCUAAUUGGCCUCUUGGUAGUUAUGUGUAUCCUUGGGUACAGUUACUGGAGUGUUGCAAGUACGAGCAGCGACCAAGCCUUACAAAUCGUGACACUCCAAGAUGAAGUUAGGAUACUGUCAACGCGAAAAAUGGAAGCUGACAAACGAAGUGAGGCUUCUAAUGACAAAGCUGGUGCUCUCGAGAAGCGAAACGCAGGUUUGGUGGCUGAGAUGCAAGAAAAAAUUAGAGCAGUAGAAUCAGUUAAAAAUGAACUCGGUCGAAAAGAAGACGAACUGAAGAAUUCGAACACUGAACUUGACAACAAAGGAGCAUCACUGACUAAAUGUGAACAGGACUCCAAUGGGAUUAAAGAAGAGCUCCAGAAAUUGAAAGAGGAGACUGAGUCUCUCAAGGGGAGUAUGGACAAGAAGCCAGCACAGUGUGAUCAGAAUGCCUGUGAAGAACCUAUCAAGAACAUUCUGACUGUGCUGGUGAACAGUUUGGGCAGGCAGCAGAUCAUUGGCACACUUCAGAACAGCGGCAUCGACGCCAACAAGUUUAUCCCUGCUGAAGCAGGCCAGCCACAGAAUGGUGAUCAACAGCCACCGUACAACCAGGGACAGAACCCUGCUGGACAGAACCCUGCUGGACAGAACCUUGCUGGACAGAACUCUGCAGGAGAGAACCAGCCUGGUCAGAACCCUGCUGGACAGAACCUUGCUGGACAGAACCCUGCUGGAGAGAACCAGCCUGGUCAGAACCCUGCUGGACAGAACCCUGCAGGAGAGAACCAGCCUGGUCAGAACCUUGCUGGACAGCCACAAGUGCUAAAUCCACCACAGAAUCCUGCUGAUCAGCAACAGCCACAGAAUCCUGCCAAUCAGCAACAGCUACAAAUUCCUGCUGAUCAGCAACAGCCACAGAACCCUGCCAAUCUACAGCCACCCCAGAAUGGUGCCGAUCAACCACCCCUUAAACCUGAUCAACAAGCACCCCAGAAUCCUGCCGAUCAACCUCAGCAGGGACUCAAUGUUGUUCAGCAACCUAACUUGAAUCAGGAUGGAAAUCAAGGUCAGCAGAAUGUUGUUGGGUUAAAAGGGAAGGGAGGUAACUCCGAGCAUGCUGUAGGUGUGUCUGCCAGUGUAAAUAGUAGUACCAUGCAUGAGCAGGGCAAUAGGGAGGUGCCAAGUAUUGAUGGAAAAUCUGAUAGAAUAGCACUUGCAAAGGAAUCAAAUGUAACCACCAGUGGUGUGCAGGAGAGCAAAGAUACCAACAAGACUGGAGAAGCAUCAAAUGGAGGCCUGUUGAAUGGGUUACUUACAAAUGCUAAGAGGUUUCUUACAAAGGUUAAGAGCUUAGAAACAGAUUCCAAUCAAACUGUGAGAUUCAACAAGACUGAAACUACCAAAGCUGGAGUAACCACGACAACAACUGGUAAACCCAAGCAAGGACCAGCGGAAGAAGGCAAAGAGUCUCCAGCAGAUAUCAGAGGCUCUGAGAAACUCAAGGAGACUGAAAAAAGUAAGACUGGCACAAAUGGUGCUUCCAAAAACGACGGCAAGGGACCUGAUGCAGAUGACAAUGGAAAUGGAGUAAAAGACCGAAACAAGGUCAAGACCCUUUACAGAACGGGAAAGACAAAGACGCUUUGAAACAAGCUGAAGAGGGUUGAUAUGGCCAAUAAUGGUGACAAGGACCCUGCUAACCAGGAAGAUCCUUUGCACCCUGCCACCCCUAUGAUUGAUUGGAGAGGCCACCCAAUUCCUUUGCUAGUUGGUGAUGGAGACAACAUUGUCUUUGAUCGUGAGGAGGUCGAUGGCAAGAUGACUGAAGGUUUUGAUGACUUGCGAGGAGGAAGCUCACAAAGAGGGUGACGAUAAACUCAAGUUUGAACCU
rnacentral:misc_RNA from 1 species